GUGGCUGUUGAGUGGCGCGGCCAUUGUGCGGGCCCUGCGAGCAGCGACACGCUCGAAGUCCGCUCCCUGGCGACGCCUGAAAGCGCCUUUGACCAGGAGGCUCACCUGCAGAGCUGGCUCUAUAGAGCCUCUGAACGCACAGCAGCUGCCAGGGGCCGCCGGCCGGGCACCUGGGGGUACAAAGAAUGGGGGCCGGGCCCUUUGAAUGAGAGGCCACUUGGAAGCAGCAGGCAUGUGCCAAGCCUCAGACGGGGGAAGAAAAGUGCCCUUCAUGCGGCUCAGAUUGAAGGGGACCCUUUCUCAGCCGUGGCGCCCUCAUGUGCAUGACAAAGGAGCCAGGCGCCGAGUGGUCCAGCCCACUGUUCAGCUACUUCCCAGUCCCGCAAGCCCAGGCCCGGGUGAAGGAAGGCGGAGGGCGGCGGGUUUCCUUCUUUGGGAAGCAGAAGAAGAGUAUUCGCUCAGGUGGAUCAAGGCGGAAGGAAACACCAAUGCCCCACCCUGGUGUUCGCAGAACCGGCACUGUUGUUCUGCAUCCAAGCCCUUUAGACAUAUUCCUCCAGUAAGGAGAAGCUUGCUGCAGAUGGUUUUCCUGAUGCGAACUAGGCUGUUCUCAUUGGAGGAGGAGCUCAGGGCCUCACUGUUCCUGGAAAUGGUUGCUGUUUUCAACAGGGGAGCUCUGAUCUUCACUAUGAGCAUCACUUCCUGGCUCCAAUGUGGAUCUCUAAGGUUGUGGCACAAAUCCUUCAUCUCAUCUCACAGAUUUUCUGGCUUCCACAACUGACCUUUGGGCCUUUCAGGUGCAGAUCCUCAAUACGGACAAGCAUGAGGCUUUGCUUUUGGGCUCUAGGCUACUGGCUGGACUCAAGAAGGACAAUGCCUUGGACUCUAAGCCUUUAGCUAGACUUGUGUGGGAAACUGCGGGUAUCUAGGCCCUCAGCUGAAUCCUUUGGGCUUCUAGUGUGUGGUUCAUCUCUUGCACUCCUUUGCAUUUGACUUUUUGGGUAAUUGUCAUAAAAUAAUCUUAGAAAUUUUGUGUCCUGUAUUUAAUGUAUUCCCUCGCCAAAUCCUGCUGACUACAACAGACUUCCUUCCCCUGCUCUGGAGCAUGGCUGGGCCUCUCACUUAUGAAGGACAUAAAGACAGUGACUGGACCAUGAGAACUUCACCCCUCACCCCCCGUGCCAGCUGGAA
rnacentral:lncRNA from 1 species